AGAGGCAGAAGUCUGACACCAGGGUGCUGUUGAGGCCCGAGUUCUGUGAGAAUACACCUCUUUUCAGGAAUGCAAUUGGUCAACUCCUUGCAUCUUGGCAGUGGAAAGAGGGUUUCUUUCUGAAAUCGGGUCUCAGCACCACUCUAGGGAGAGGAGAAUACAUCACGGUUAAAUGCGCUGGGGGUCCUUGCUGAAGUGUCUGCUGCACAGUACAAUCUCAACAAUGUUGAUGGCAGUGAUGGAUCUGGGCCAGAACUUUUGCAGAGAUGGUGAUGAGAAGGCUGUAGCUACCUCUGGAACUAAAGGAAGAUCCUCAGAGCACAAGACUGAACUGCCUUCAGAAAGUUAAGUAACAAACCGUGGCCAUCAUUUUCACUGUCAAUGCUGAUAUGCCAGGAAGAAUUCAACAAAUUGAUGAAUGUCACUAUGACCAGAUAUCUGACAAAAAUCAAUGUAAAGGGGAACAGGUUUAUUUUAGCUCCCAGCUUGGAGAAACACAGUCCAUCAUGGAAGCAAAGGUGUGGAGAUGGUGGAAGUGGCUUCACGAUGCAGACCAGGAAGCAAACAAGAGAACAAAUGCUAAUAUUCA